UACGAAGGGGGCUAGCGUUGCUCGGAAUCACUGGGCGUAAAGCGCACGUAGGCGGCUUUUUAAGUCAGGGGUGAAAUCCUGGAGCUCAACUCCAGAACUGCCUUUGAUACUGAGAAGCUUGAGUCCGGGAGAGGUGAGUGGAACUGCGAGUGUAGAGGUGAAAUUCGUAGAUAUUCGCAAGAACACCAGUGGCGAAGGCGGUCAACUGGCCCUCAACUGACGCUGAGGCACGAAAGCGUGGGGAUCAAACAGG
rnacentral:rRNA from 1 species